UACGUAGGGCGCAAGCGUUAUCCGGAAUUAUUGGGCGUAAAGAGCUCGUAGGCGGUUUGUCGCGUCUGCCGUGAAAGUCCGGGGCUCAACUCCGGAUCUGCGGUGGGUACGGGCAGACUAGAGUGAUGUAGGGGAGACUGGAAUUCCUGGUGUAGCGGUGAAAUGCGCAGAUAUCAGGAGGAACACUGAUGGCGAAGGCAGGUCUCUGGGCAUUAACUGACGCUGAGGAGCGAAAGCAUGGGGAGCGAACAGG
rnacentral:rRNA from 1 species